rnacentral:rRNA from 1 species
ACGGAAGUUAAGCUCCUCAGCGCCGAUGGUACUGCGUGGGUAACCGCGUGGGAGAGUAGGUCGCCGCCGACC